rnacentral:piRNA from 1 species
UACCUCCAAAAAUAUGACUCGGGAUGGU